CUGGUAUCAGGUACAGAUGAUUUGCUGAUAUUUGUCUGUUUAUUGCAGGUUUCUCCCAACCUGUCUUUAUUGAAAUCCCUCAAAGUUCAGGCAAUGCAACUGUUGGUCAGUCUGUCCUUCUGUCUGUCUCCUAUAAAUUCCAUAGGUAUUUUUACCAUCCUUUGUCAAUUCAAUGGAAUUUCAGUAAGACCCCUGAUCUACUCACCAUCUGCACAGUGACUAACUGUUCUGUCAGUGCCGAGGGGAUUCCCACGCACUGCUCUCGACAUAAUUAUAUACAUCUCACAUACAAGGGCUGGACUGUAUUUUUCCCUGAAAAUGCAUCUCUGCUCCUUCAGAACCUGCAGCUCAAUGACAGCGGAGUCUACAGUGUCACCUUCAAAGUACCACAGCAAACCAGACACAUCACAUUAACUGUAUCUGAACCUCAUUUCAACCGUGGAAAUGCAGGUUCCAACAGUGAAGGAGAAAAGGUCUCUUCUGUCUACAUCAUUGCCUUCAUCGCUGUAAGUGGCUGCUGUUUUAUCUUGCUGUUCCUGCUGCUGUUCUUCUACUUCAGAUGUCUCAGAGGUCCAAAAUCCUGAGGAAUCUCAUGUGGAAAUUUCAUCACCAAGGAGGUUACGAACAAUUUACAUAAGGAUUGGAGAAGACUGUGGGCAGAGACAGCCUACAUCAGAGUCACAGACUGAAUACACCUCCAUAAGCUUCUCUGAACAGCAGCUGU